rnacentral:rRNA from 1 species
CCUACGGGAGGCAGCAGUGGGGAAUAUUGGACAAUGGGGGGAACCCUGAUCCAGCCAUGCCGCGUGUGUGAAGAAGGCCCUCGGGUUGUAAAGCACUUUCAGUGAGGAAGAACGCCUGGUGGUUAAUACCCAUCAGGAAAGACAUCACUCACAGAAGAAGCACCGGCUAACUCCGUGCCAGCAGCCGCGGUAAUACGGAGGGUGCGAGCGUUAAUCGGAAUUACUGGGCGUAAAGCGCGCGUAGGUGGCUUGAUAAGCCGGUUGUGAAAGCCCCUGGCUCAACCUGGGAACGGCAUCCGGAACUGUCAAGCUAGAGUGCAGGAGAGGAAGGUAGAAUUCCCGGUGUAGCGGUGAAAUGCGUAGAGAUCGGGAGGAAUACCAGUGGCGAAGGCGGCCUUCUGGACUGACACUGACACUGAGGUGCGAAAGCGUGGGUAGCAAACAGGAUUAGAUACCCCUGUAGUC